rnacentral:snoRNA from 1 species
CUAGCACUUUCACAGAUCUUCCCCUAGACAGUAGGGCCAGGAUUUGGUAGCUGGUGCUUAGAGAAAACCCUUGAUUGCAUCUUUGCCCUGGUACUAUACCAGUGGCAGGUGUCACUCACUGGAACAGAG